UACGGAGGGUGCUAACGUUGUCCGGAAUUACUGGGCGUAAAGAGCAUGUAGGUGGCCAUGUAAGUCAAUGAUGAAAGACCGACGCUUAACGUCGGAUCCGUUCUUGAUACUGCAUGGCUCGAGGAUAGCAGGGGUAAGCGGAACUUUGAGUGUAGGAGUGAAAUCCGUAGAUAUUCAAAGGAACACCAAUGGCGAAGGCAGCUUACUGGGCUAUUUCUGACACUGAGAUGCGAAAAGCGUGGGGAGCGAACGGG
rnacentral:rRNA from 1 species